rnacentral:lncRNA from 10 species
CAGCUAGAGUGGUUCUCCCUCCACAGACCCAAAAGGCUGAACUGGUGAACCUGCUGCAUCUGUGGGCAGAAUUAGGAUGAAAAGCACUACCUCUGUGAAAUACAAAAUCUCUGUGGAAGAAAAAUCAAUUCAGGGGCAGAUAAGAAAAGAAACAAUUUGCUGAAACUCCCUCUGCUUAUAACAAAACUGACUGAAAUCAGCCGGAAUCAAUAUGGCCAAAUGCAGUUUGCGCACAGCAAGCUUGCUGAUGUCACAGCCUGAAUUUCUACUGCAUGUUUCAUACCAACUCCCUCCAAAUUUGCACAUGGGACCCACCAGGAAGCAUGAAGAGAGAGCCAUGCAUGCCUGAAGACUUC